GACGAACGCUGGCGGCGUGCUUAACACAUGCAAGUCGAACGGGCCUUGUCCCCUUUUUUUUUGUUGGUGGGGUUAGUGGCGAACGGGUGAGUAACACGUGAGUAACCUGCCCCUCACUUCUGGAUAACCGCUUGAAAGGGUGGCUAAUACGGGGUGUUCUGGCCUGCUCGCAUGGGUGGGUUUGGAAAGAUUCGACCGGUUUUGGUUGUUUUGGUGGGGGAUGGGCUCGCGGCCUAUCAGCUUGUUGGUGGGGUGAUGGCCUGCCAAGGCUUUGACGGGUAGCCGGCCUGAGAGGGUGGGCGGUCACACUGGGACUGAGACACGGCCCAGACUCCUACGGGAGGCAGCAGUGGGGAAUAUUGCACAAUGGGCGCAAGCCUGAUGCAGCGACGCCGCGUGAGGGAUGGAGGCCUUCGGGUUGUGAACCUCUUUCGGCAGUGAAGAAGGUGCUGCUGUUUGUGGUGGGGUUGACGGUAGCUGGGUUAAUGAAGCGCCGGCUAACUACGUG
rnacentral:rRNA from 1 species